GCCGGCCGACCGAGCCCGGCGCCGGAGCGGACGCUCAACUCUUCUUUCCCGCUCCGCACGCUCGGCGCCCGGCCCGGCCACUUGCUGCCGCAGAAGCCGGGGAUUCCGCCGGCAGCGCAGCGUUUUAUGUGAAUGGGUUUGUGGCAUGUGACGUGGCUGCCCAUAUAAGGCGGAAUAUGGGUAUUUCCCCGCCCCUUCGGGCCGCGGCCACGCCCCUAGGGGGCGGGACGCGCGGGGCGGGCGCCCCAGCGUUAGUCAGCCCGAGAAAGAGGAAGUGGAAGGCGCCUCGCUGUGUUCUCUGCGGCGCUGCGCGCAGACACUCACUUGCGCAUCACCGGGGACUGCCGAGCACUGCUUUCUUUGGUUUCUUCAAGACUGCUGCUGGGUCUGGACCAUCUUGGUAAAAUGAAAGAGCACUGGACUAGAAGUCAAAGAGCUGGAUUUUUGUUCAGCCUCUGCUGUGACCAGCUUUUGCUGUUUCAUUAAUAUUUGUAGAGUGCCUUCUGUGUGUGUAGGUAUUUUUCUCCCCGUGGCCCUCCCAUCUCCCUCACCCCCAGGACCUUAGAGUGGAGUGAAUACAAAGUUCACUUCAGGAUGCAGGCAUUUGCUGUGUGACUGUUGAGAAUCACUCACCCUUUGUCUGCUGUCACGGUUUCCUCUUCUAUAAAGUAGGGGCAUUAGCGUCUAUCUGUACACCGUGAGUGACAAUGACAUAAUGUACAUAAAGCUAUAGCAUGAUGAAAGCAUAAGGUAUUUGUAUGGUUGUUGUUGCUAAUAAUAAUAAUAUCCAUCAGCAAAGCAUUUACUCAGUCAAAUCCUAAUACACUGGUACAUUGUUUCCUCCUCUAUAAAGUGGGAAUGAAAAUAGGACUUAGCUCAUAAGUUACUAUCAGGAUUCAGUGAGUUAAGUUACUUCGAUGGGACAGCUACUUAGAAUGCCUGGUGCAUAUUAAGAACUCAGUAAGCGUUAACUAGUUGAACAGACUGUAGUAUUUGUUCCAGCCAAGAAAAGACUUUUUAAUGGCUCAGGAAAAAUAAGAUGGGAAUAAGCAUAGCAGGGAGGAAGAGGGAUACUUGCUGUUUAAUUCAGCUGGCAGUGAAAGAAUUAUUGGAAGCCCUUGAACUUGUUCUCAAGGCUUACUGAGUUCGAGGGGAUAUUUAAAGAGUAAAAAUCCCCAGACCAACUUACAGUAAACUAGAAGGGACAAGAAGCCAUUCAGAUAAUAAUAAGUGCUAGGUUGGAUGGUUUUGAUAUUGAGAGCCGAAGAAACUGUGUAGAACAGAGAUCGAUAAAGCCAGGAGCAUUAGAGCAGGUGAGUCUGGGAGAGGGGUUUAGGUUUGAUAAAUAACUCUUCCAGUUCUAAGAGCAAGGACUUUGGAGUGUGACAUUUAAGCCCCUGGUCAGCUGCUUACUGAUUGUGUGACCUUGGGCAAGUUACUUCACUUCUCUAAGCCACAGUUCUCUCAUCUGAAAAAAAAAAAAAAAAAAAAGUGGACUGGGGGGAGAUAAUAAUAGUACCUACCUCCGAGGGCUGAUGAGAAGAUUAAAUGGAGUACCUAUGAAAAGCUCUUCUCUGUGUGCCUGUAGCAUGGUGGGGGCUCCGUGUGAGCCAGUAUUUUUCUUUAUGAAAAGUCACGGGCAGCACGGAAGCACAGAAUCUUGGCAGUAAGGAAUUGUAAUUCUAUUUUGAAAUUUUCCAGAGAGGGAGCUUACUGCCUCAUGAGGCAUUUUUGAAUGAGACCAAAAAAGGAAAC
rnacentral:lncRNA from 1 species